AGUGGCGGACGGGUGAGUAACGCGUGAGAAUCUGCCCUUUGGAUGGGGAUAACGACUGGAAACGGUCGCUAAUACCCAAUAUGCCGAGAGGUGAAACUUAUAUGGCCAGAGGAUGAGCUCGCGUCUGAUUAGCUAGUUGGAGUGGUAACGGCACACCAAGGCGACGAUCAGUAGCUGGUCUGAGAGGAUGAUCAGCCACACUGGGACUGAGACACGGCCCAGACUCCUACGGGAGGCAGCAGUGGGGAAUUUUCCGCAACGGGCGAAAGCCUGACGGAGCAAGACCGCGUGAGGGAGGAAGGCCUACUGGUUGUAAACCUCUUUUGAUAGGGAAGAAGAAAGUGACGGUACCUAUCGAAUCAGCAUCGGCUAACUCCGUGCCAGCAGCCGCGGUAAUACGGAGGAUGCAAGCGUUAUCCGGAAUUAUUGGGCGUAAAGCGUCCGUAGGUGGUUAUUCAAGUCAGCUGUCAAAGGAUGGAGCUUAACUCCAUAAAGGCAGUUGAAACUGUGUAGCUAGAGUGCGAUAGGGGCAAGGGGAAUUCCCAGUGUAGCGGUGAAAUGCGUAGAUAUUGGGAAGAACAUCGGUGGCGAAAGCGCCUUGCUGGGUCUGCACUGACACUGAGGGACGAAAGCUAGGGGAGCGAAAGGGAUUAGAUACCCCUGUAGUCUUAGCUGUAAACGAUGGAUACUAGGCGUUG
rnacentral:rRNA from 1 species